GAUGAACGCUAGCUACAGGCUUACACNUGCAAGUCGAGGGCAGCGGGAUUGAAGCUUGCUUCAAUUGCCGGCGACCGGCGCACGGGUGAGUAACGCGUAUCCAACCUUCCGUACACUCAGGGAUAGCCUUUCGAAAGAAAGAUUAAUACCUGAUGGUAUGAUGAGAUUGCAUGAUAGCAUCAUUAAAGAUUUAUCGGUGUACGAUGGGGAUGCGUUCCAUUAGGUAGUAGGCGGGGUAACGGCCCACCUAGCCAACGAUGGAUAGGGGUUCUGAAAGGAAGGUCCCCCACAUUGGAACUGAGACACGGUCCAAACUCCUACGGGAGGCAGCAGUGACGGAAUAUUGGUCAAUGGGCGAGAGCCUGAACCAGCCAAGUAGCGUGAAGGAUGAAGGUCCUACGGAUUGUAAACUUCUUUUAA
rnacentral:rRNA from 1 species